AUUGAACGCUGGCGGCAUGCCUUACACAUGCAAGUCGAACGGUAACAGGCCUUCUGGUGCUGACGUGUGGCGCACGGGGGUGUAAAGUACCGGAAAGUCCCCCGGGUAGGGGGGUAAAGCAGCCAAAGCUGGGCUCAUAUACCACGUGAUUUGAGGGUGAGAGCGUGGGACAUGUCAGCACUGUUCGCCCUCGCGUCUUUCUAGCGCGCGAGGGCGGAUUAGUUAGUUGGUGGGGUAAAGGCCUACCAAGGCGACGAUCCGUAGCUGGUCUGAGAGGACGAUCAGUCACACUGGAACUGAGACACGGUCCAGACUCCUACGGGAGGCAGCAGUGGGGAAUAUUGGACAAAGGGCGAAAGCCUGAUCCAGCAAUGCCGCGUGUGGGAAGAAGGUCUUCGGAUUGUAAAGCGCUUUUGUAUGGAAGGAAGAGCAUUUAGCUAAUACCUGGCGGUGAUGACGGUACCAAAAGAAUAAGCACCGGCUAACUACGUG
rnacentral:rRNA from 1 species